CAGAAUUCCCCACAAGUUGAAAUCCACAAGUCUUAAAAGUAGUCAAGGGUUGGACACCCUUGGUCCAGGCAAUGAAUCCUACCUUGGGAUCUGGAUGAACACUGCCAGAGAUCCCAUAAACACAGAGAGAGGCAGCACAGCUUUGCAACGAGCAUGUUUUAUAGAUGUGACAGAUAAAUAAAUAUGACAAAUACAUGGGAAAAGCAGAACUUCUAAACAAUCCUUGCUUUGGUACUUUAAAAGAUGGUGAUUGAAUCCAUCUUCUUGCUCAGAUAUGCACGUUUACUUUGCAUAAGAGUAAAGGUAAUGGUUUAAGGAAAGGAAGACCCUUGGGGUGAGCGGAUGAUCUGUUUAACCAAAGGAACGUAUUUGCACUACAAGCUUGUACCAGGAUUAAUACAGAUUCAUCCAUCAUUAUUAGAGAGCUCAGAAGCUCCCUGACCUCCAAGAAUGGAAGAUCCCUAGACAAUGAUGGUUAAUCUCCUUUUCCCCCCUUUCUGCUAUCAUUUUGAUGUUUGCUGCUCACCAACCAGAGCCUGCCCUUUGCUCUUCCUUCACAGCAACAACUCCGUGAGGUGGAUUGGCUGAUAGAGAGUGACUGGCACAAAACCACCCAGCCAGGUUUCAUGCUGAGGUGGGAAUAGAACUCACAGUCUACUGAAGAUUGGCUCAAAGUCACCCAGCUGGCUUUUAUGCCUGAGAGGGGACUAGAACUCACCACCUCCUGGUUUCUAGGCCAACACCUUAACUAACUUAGUGAACAGUCCGGGGCUCUGGUGUGUGUGUUUGUGUGUGGGGUGGGAUUGCCACUAUUCACCCUGUCCAUGGUGUCCAUCCUGCUUCCCCUAACUGCCAUGAAGCUAACAUGCAGGCUGGUGUGCUACUUGGGUGACAGUUGUUGUCUGCACUGACUUUGUGGGGGAAGGUCAGAGGUGAUUCAACACUGCUUGAUCCUCACAACGAAGAAGCUGUUGCUUUAACUCACUUUUAACUUUUUUUGUCGAAGUGCCUUCUCGGUUCUCUGCAGGGGUCAGGGCCUGAUUGCCCCCUUCCCUAAACCUUAUUGUCCCAGUUAUUGAUCAAGGUGCUGAGCUUCAUUCAGGACAAAUUUGGGAAGGGUGAAGGAUGUGUGACUGUUUGGGUGCCCUGCUGAGCUAUUGACAGAUGUGUCAAAAGCAAUUUGUACAUUGGUGAUGUCGGUGAUGUUGCUAGGCCUUGUCCCAGAGUGAAAAGCUUAACUACUAAAUAGACAGAAGGUGCUUAUUUUAUCCAUAGGGUAUAUUGCUCCACCUUGCCUCCAUAAACUUGCAAGAGCUUGUCAUGGGAUUACCAAGAAAGGACAAUUAGUCCCAUUUUUCUGGUCUUCAUGGCUGCAUUAAAGUUUGGUUUCAGUCACUCUCAUCAGGCGAACUGAAACUUUGGAUUAGUGUUGUGAAAGGCUUCCAAUUCUGGUUAUACAGUCGAAAGAUGGAGGGUGUGGGAAGGCAAGAUAAUCCUGCCACUUGUCUAUAUCAAGUUUGAUUGGCAAACUCAAUUACAGUUUGUGAACCCUUUUGAAUUGUCAAUAUUUCUGCAUAAAUAUGAUCUAACAUGUGAUUUGUGCUCCACACAAGUCCUAAAACUAGAUGAAACCCCAAUUAAAUGAGUGUCAUUGAUUAUACUUGUUUAUUGAGGAAAAUCAUCCAAAUAUACAUAUUUCU
rnacentral:lncRNA from 1 species